rnacentral:tRNA from 1 species
GCGCCAUUAGCAUUGGCUGGAUAGAGCGUCGGUCUACGGAACCGAAGGCUAGAGGUUCGAACCCCCUAUGGCGCU